GCCAGGUGUGGUGGCGCAUGCCUGUAGUCCCAGCUACUGGGGAGGCUGAGUCAGGAGAAUCGCUUGAACCCAGGAGGCGGAGGUUGCAGUGAGCCAAGAUGGCGCCACUGCACUCCAGCCUGGGUGAUAGACUGAGACCCUGUCUCAA
rfam:Homo sapiens chromosome 14 genomic contig, GRCh38 reference assembly alternate locus group ALT_REF_LOCI_1.